GACGAACGCUGGCGGCGUGCCUAAUACAUGCAAGUUGAGCGCUGAAGGUUGGUACUUGUACCGACUGGAUGAGCAGCGAACGGGUGAGUAACGCGUGGGGAAUCUGCCUUUGAGCGGGGGACAACAUUUGGAAACGAAUGCUAAUACCGCAUAAAAACUUUAAACACAAGUUUUAAGUUUGAAAGAUGCAAUUGCAUCACUCAAAGAUGAUCCCGCGUUGUAUUAGCUAGUUGGUGAGGUAAAGGCUCACCAAGGCGAUGAUACAUAGCCGACCUGAGAGGGUGAUCGGCCACAUUGGGACGGAGACACGGCCCAAACGCCUACGGGAGGCAGCAGGAGGGAAUCUUCGGCAAUGGACGAAAGUCUGACCGAGCAACGCCGCGUGAGUGAAGAAGGGUGUCGGAUCGUAAAACUCGGUUGGUAGAGAAGAACGUUGGUGAGAGUGGAAAGCUCAUCAAGUGACGGUAACUACUCAGAAAGGGACGGCUAACUACGUG
rnacentral:rRNA from 1 species